AGGAUGCUCCGGGCCAGGUCCAUUAUGCACCUGCAGAUGGCCGAAAACUUUGCCGUGCCAUUAUCUAGCAAGGGGUAGUGCUGCUCUGUUUCAACAUGUUUGGGCUAAUUAAUGUCAGAAGCCAUUGCAGGGAUAACUUGGCGAACGGUCUGCCAUUUUGUUUUCCACCUAUACACGGCCAGGCAAUUGAAAUUUAAGGCCGGAAGUUUAUUGUGGCAACAAAAGAGCGAACUCGGCAGCGGAUGCUGCACCUGCCCCCCACCGCAAUACCCCACCAUUCUCAUCCUGCAAGCCGGUGAUGGCCUUUAAGAAACGCUGACCAGAACUAGAACCACAACUUUUUUGCCGUAAAUAAAUCCCAACGAGCAUAAAUGGAAUGCAAACUUUUUUCCGGUUAUCUGCCGGCAGCUCUUCGCCGGCACCCUCUUUUUGUUUUAAUAAUAUAUACCCUUCUUUACCGAAUGAAAAAGAAAGCAAGUAAUGCACCUUUAAAUUGAAAACCUAAUGAGAAAACCCCUUGGCAAGUGCUCAAAAAUUAAACGGAAAGGGCGGCCGCUACGUGCUACUGCCAACAUAAUUGCGCUUAAAAUCGUUUAAGUGUUUUAUAAUCCGCCCAACGAUUUUUUCCAGCUGCUGUGGCCGCUUUAAGCGAUGUGCCAUCCAUCCUUGCCGAUGCCAGGAUUCCCCACAAA